GAUGAAGAACGCAGCGAAAUGCGAUAAGUAAUGUGAAUUGCAGAAUUCAGUGAAUCAUCGAAUCUUUGAACGCACAUUGCGCCCCUUGGUAAUCCGAGGGGCAUGCCUGUUCGAGCGUCAUUAUAACCCCUCAAGCUCAGCUUGGUGUUGGGGCCUGCUGCACUGGCAGCCCUUAAAAUCAGUGGCGGCGCCAUCUGGCUCUAAGCGUAGUAAUUCUUCUCGCUAUGGAGUCCUGGUGGAUGCUUGCCAUCAACCCCCAAUUUUUCUAUGGUUGACCUCGGAUCAGGUAGGGAUACCCGCUGAACUUAAGCAUAUCAAUAAGCGGAGGA
rnacentral:misc_RNA from 1 species